UACGAAGGGGGCUAGCGUUGCUCGGAUUCACUGGGCGUAAAGGGUGCGCAGGCGGCCAAGUGUGUGAGGCGUGAAAGCCUGGGGCUUAACUCCAGAAUUGCACCUCAAACUACAUGGCUAGAGCAUUGGAGAGGGUAGCAGAAUUCACGGUGUAGCAGUGAAAUGCGUAGAUAUCGUGAGGAAUACCAGAGGCGAAGGCGGCUACCUGGACAAUUGCUGACGCUCAGGCACGAAAGCGUGGGGAGCAAAAGGG
rnacentral:rRNA from 1 species